GACGAACGCUGGCGGCGUGCUUAACACAUGCAAGUCGAACGGAAAGGCCCUGCUUUUGUGGGGUGCUCGAGUGGCGAACGGGUGAGUAACACGUGAGUAACCUGCCCUUGACUUUGGGAUAACUUCAGGAAACUGGGGCUAAUACCGGAUAGGAGCUCCUGCUGCAUGGUGGGGGUUGGAAAGUUUCGGCGGUUGGGUAUGGACUCGCGGCUUAUCAGCUUGUUGGUGGGGUAGUGGCUUACCAAGGCUUUGACGGGUAGCCGGCCUGAGAGGGUGACCGGCCACAUUGGGACUGAGAUACGGCCCAGACUCCUACGGGAGGCAGCAGUGGGGAAUAUUGCACAAUGGGCGGAAGCCUGAUGCAGCAACGCCGCGUGCGGGAUGACGGCCUUCGGGUUGUAAACUGCUUUCGCCUGUGACGAAGCGUGAGUGACGGUAAUGGGUAAAGAAGCACCGGCUAACUACGUG
rnacentral:rRNA from 1 species